GUGGAUUAGAUACCCGAGUAGUCCUAGCUGUAAACGAUCAGUACUAGACGGAGGGGGGCUUGCCCUUCUCGGUCGUAGCGAAAGCGAUAAGUACUGCGCCUGGGGAGUAUGGUCGCAAGGCUGAAACUCAAAGGAAUUGACGGGGGCUCACACAAGCGGUGGAGCAUGUGGCUUAAUUCGAGGCAACGCGAAGAACCUUAUCCUGGGCUUGACAUGCUGGGAUUAGUCUCCUGAAAGGGAGAUGACGCCUUCGGGUGGAACCAGCACAGGUGCUGCACGGUUGUCGUCAGCU
rnacentral:rRNA from 1 species